CGUAGGCGGGAAUACAAGUCUGUUUUUAAAGUUCGGGGCUCAACCCCGUGAUGGAAUGGAAACUGUAUUUCUUGAGGGCAGGAGAGGAAAGUGGAAUUCCUAGUGUAGCGGUGAAAUGCGUAGAUAUUAGGAGGAACACCAGUGGCGAAGGCGGCUUUCUGGACUGCAACUGACGCUGAGGCGCGAAAGCUAGGGGAGCGAACA
rnacentral:rRNA from 1 species